rnacentral:rRNA from 1 species
UGGCUCACGAUGAACGCUAGCGACAGGCCUAACACAUGCAAGUCGAGGGGCAUCGGGGCGAGGAGCAAUCCUUGCCGCCGGCGACCGGCGCACGGGUGAGUAACGCGUAUGCGACCUGCCCGUUGCAGGGGGAUAAUCGGGAGAAAUCCCGUCUAAUACCGCGUAAUGCCGCGGGGCUGCAUGGCCCUGCGGCCAAAGGAAGCGAUUCCGGCAACGGAUGGGCAUGCGUGACAUUAGCUAGUUGGCGGGGCAACGGCCCACCAAGGCGACGAUGUCUAGGGGUUCUGAGAGGAAGGUCCCCCACACUGGUACUGAAACACGGACCAGACUCCUACGGGAGGCAGCAGUGAGGAAUAUUGGUCAAUGGGCGCGAGCCUGAACCAGCCAAGUCGCGUGAGGGAUGACGGCCCUACGGGUUGUAAACCUCUUUUGUCGGGGAGCAAAUUCCGCCACGUGUGGCGGAGUCGAGAGUACCCGAAGAAAAAGCAUCGGCUAACUCCGUGCCAGCAGCCGCGGUAAUACGGAGGAUGCGAGCGUUAUCCGGAUUUAUUGGGUUUAAAGGGUGCGUAGGCGGACUGUCAAGUCAGCGGUAAAAUACGGGGGCUCAACCUCCGCCCGCCGUUGAAACUGACGGUCUUGAGUGGGCGAGAAGUAUGCGGAAUGCGUGGUGUAGCGGUGAAAUGCAUAGAUAUCACGCAGAACUCCGAUUGCGAAGGCAGCAUACCGGCGCCCAACUGACGCUGAAGCACGAAAGCGUGGGUAUCGAACAGGAUUAGAUACCCUGGUAGUCCACGCAGUAAACGAUGAAUACUAGCUGUCCGGGGCGAAUGAGCCCUGGGUGGCACAGCGAAAGCGUUAAGUAUUCCACCUGGGGAGUACGCCGGCAACGGUGAAACUCAAAGGAAUUGACGGGGGCCCGCACAAGCGGAGGAACAUGUGGUUUAAUUCGAUGAUACGCGAGGAACCUUACCCGGGCUCAAACGACACAGGAACGUACCUGAAAGGGUUCGGCUCUACGGAGCCUGUGUCGAGGUGCUGCAUGGUUGUCGUCAGCUCGUGCCGUGAGGUGUCGGCUUAAGUGCCAUAACGAGCGCAACCCCCAUCGACAGUUGCUAACAGGUCAGGCUGAGGACUCUGUCGAGACUGCCGGCGCAAGCUGCGAGGAAGGCGGGGAUGACGUCAAAUCAGCACGGCCCUUACGUCCGGGGCGACACACGUGUUACAAUGGCAGGUACAGCGGGAAGCCGCCUGGUGACAGGGAGCGGAACCCGAAAGCCUGUCUCAGUUCGGAUUGGAGUCUGCAACCCGACUCCAUGAAGCUGGAUUCGCUAGUAAUCGCGCAUCAGCCACGGCGCGGUGAAUACGUUCCCGGGCCUUGUACACACCGCCCGUCAAGCCAUGGAAGCCGGGGGUGCCUGAAGUGCGCUGCCGCGAGGAGCGCCCUAGGGUAAAACCUGGUGACUGGGGCUAAGUCGUAACAAGGUA